UCCGGCCCUGAAAUUACUGGCCUCCGGGUCGGCAGUGUGGCCCACUGCGAUAAUAAUGGUUGCCGGGAUGGCCUUGGACAGCUGGAUGAAGAGCAGAGCAAGCCGGAGCUGGCACCGUGGGAGGUCCCGGGGUGGCCGGAGGUAAAAAUGAACAAGAACCCUAAAAUGUAUUGACAAGAAUCCUCUCCAAGCCCCCUAUAGACAGGAGAGCCCAUCUUCCUGGGGAUGGGAAUGCUGUGAGGCAACAUUUUACCAUUGGGGUAUGAACAAAGUCAACUUGUGGGCAAAAAUAAAAAUUCACUGAAUGCA